GAGAUGCGGCAGCUGGUGCAAACCGGUAGUGGGCUGGCAAACGCAGGGGUUCGAUUCCUCUCGUCUCCGC
rnacentral:tRNA from 1 species